rnacentral:lncRNA from 1 species
GCCCUCCCCUCAGCAUUGUCUCCACAAGCUGCACCCACACAGUAGCACGUGGCACUGCCUCCUUCCUGCGCUGAACCCAACCCACUGCGUCCACUGCGUGGAGACCGCACCUCUGCAUCCGUCCUCAUGUGGGAGUGGGGCACGCGUGAGGCCUCGGUCCCCACCUGUGGACUCAGGGUCUCUUCCACGGACUGCGGGGAAGGCAGUGGGAGCAGCAGGAACAGAUGGUGAAAGGACACGGUGCCUGCCCCCCGAGUGUCCGAGGGUAGAGCUGGGGCAGGGUCACAGUCACCCCAAAGCCGCCCCAGCCCCUCCUUGCCUAUCCCCAGCUGAACCAGCACCACUCAGGCAGUCGCCGCCACUGGGGUGUGGCUCUGGGGCCCGGCACCGGGUCCCCAACCCUGCUUGCUUUCCUCCUGGAGCCCGGCCUCUGCACACUGCCCUGGAGAAGAGAGGCAGUGUGUGUGCAGAGGGCCCCG